ACCUGACAAGGCAGCUAAUUGAGUGAUUGGGAUCACAUGGGCCCAUUCACAGGUAUUAAUGUGAAGUGAACUGCAAACAUCCAUUGAAAGGCAAAAAGGACCUUCUGGAAAACAGCGGCUCCAAAAAUGGGUUGAAGAUUGCUGUGGUAAGAUUUGGAUUACUGUUCCAUCCUUACUGCCUGGGAGACUUAUGUGGAAAUCCAAGAGGUGAGGGACACCUGCCCAAUGGACACCACAGAAUGUCACUGCGGGAUGUGAUGUGCCAGAUGGAGGAUGCAGUGGGGAGGAUCCCAUUGUUGGGUGUUUGGGUAGCUGCUCAGGGCUGAGAUACAAAGCCAACUCACACCGUAUGGAACAAUUCACAGGCCCCUGGUGCAGCCCAGGGCAGUUUCCAAUGGACAGUGUGGGUCUGACCAGCCUUUUCUGGAGGGUGCGGAAGUAUUAAUACAAGGUAUGGACAUGUGUCAUGCCAUGCCCAGUGUGAUCUAAAGAUGCACAGAAUGUAAUAUGAAGGUGUAUAAAGAUUUAAUCUUUGUAGAGAGUUCUUGAGAACAUCAGUGCAAACCUUGGUAGUGCUCAUAAAGAAAAUAUUAGGAAAUAAAAAAAAACCACCAGGAGCAAGCAGAAACCCACUUAUUGCAUGUAUAAAUCCAUGGAAUGACCACAUUUUGAAUAUGAUGCAUAUUCUCAUUGAAACUGCUUGGAAAUCUUUUGGCCCUUAGAAGAGCUUUAUUGAUGGGAAAGAAGAAUAACCAGAGAUUUAGAAUAACUUCCAUGACAGGAGAUUUUUAGAAGGCUACCACACCUCAGUUUGGACGGUUGCACAGAGAGGAGAGAGACUGGUGGACCAAGACCUACAAAAUCAUGAGUGACACACAAACAGUGCAUAGAAAACAGUUCACUAUUUUGCCAAACACAAAUCGCUGCAAUCAACACCUCAAAUUAUCAAGCGAGAAGUUGAAAACCAGGAAGGGGAAGAUCCCCUGAGAAUGAAUGCGUACUUACACUUUGUAACACAAUGUCUGAGCCUGUCAUGGAGUCCAAAGGUACAAAGAUGUUCAGAGAGAAGGGAAACUGAUUAAUGAAUGAGAAGGAAUUUGUCCGAAACAUGGUGAAGCAGAACAAUGUUCAACAAAAAAUCCUUGAGCCACACAGUGCUGGAAGCAGGAGACUCACCAGGGAAAUGCCACUCCAUGCUUGUCCUGUUCCUUCUGAGCCAUCUCGUAGUGAGCAUUAGCAGAGGCAGAUAAUGAGGAGGAUGGAUAUUACCCAGGAUGUCCCUUCUUCCAUCUCUAUUACAUCCUGAUGUGAGUUUGGUGACUUCUAGUGUAGGGAUUCUCAGUUGGGUGUUUUGACAGGAGCACUAAUUACAGUAGUGGACAGCAGUGAAUGAGAAUUUCUGACAACAAAGGAAAAGGCUGAUUUUAUUCUGUUUAGAGAACUAAAAAUAGGAUCAGUCCUUUAAAAAACUGGGACACGUAUUUGUCAACACUGGUUUAGAAUUAAAAAAUACCUUUUAAAAUGUA